AGUAUCUUCAUGAUGCCAGCAACUGUGAAAAAAUUAGCUUACUAUUCUAGUGCCAGUUUUAAGCUUUUCUGUGUCUCUUUAUACAAUGCCCAAAUCAUUGCACAGAUCAAGAAUGAUCUCAAAACUAUUUUGGCUUUUACUGAUGUUUUGUUCAUGACCAAACAGAGUGCUCGCGCUAUGAUCAAAAUGUACGACAUUCCAGCCAGUAAACUG
rnacentral:sRNA from 1 species